UACAGAGGAUGCAAGCGUUAUCCGGAAUCACUGGGCGUAAAGCGUCUGUAGGUGGUCAAAUAAGUCAACUGUUAAAUCUUGAGGCUCAACCUCAAAAUCGCAGUCGAAACUAUUCGACUAGAGUAUAGUAGGGGUAAAGGGAAUUUCCAGUGGAGCGGUGAAAUGCGUAGAGAUUGGAAAGAACACCGAUGGCGAAGGCACUUUACUGGGCUAUUACUAACACUGAGAGACGAAAGCUAGGGUAGCAAAUGGG
rnacentral:rRNA from 1 species